UUCAAUCUCUGAUAUAUAUAUAUCCAAGUAGAUGCCUUGAUGUCUUCUCCAGAUAAUUUCUGCUGAACCCCAGGUGAAUAAUCUGGAAAGACACUCAAAAACCCUUUCAUUGCGUAGUAAGUUUUCUUACCAUGAUUUUUUGCCUUGCAUAAGUCUUUACAAAGCUAGUUUCCAUGGCAACAGAUUAUAACUAAUCUCCACCUAUAUAUAGCUAUGUUGUACUGACUAAUAAGUAACACUCUCCUUUCCUCCCAAGUCAGAAGUGAAGAAAAUGAAAGUGGUGACGGUUGCGCUGAUGACUUACCUAUGCUUAGUGAGCAGCGUCGUCGUGGCCGAGAAGACCAAAGUCGACGGCACCAUAGAGAAUCAUCACAACAUACCAAGGCAGUACUAUAACCAGUGGGGCAGCGGAGGAGAUAAUAAUGGCGACAAU
rnacentral:lncRNA from 1 species